GUUCUUAUAGCUUAGUGGUUAAAGCGCUAAACUGAAGCUUUAGUUACAUUGGUUCGAUUCCUUUUAAGAACA